CGGACUCUUCUUCUUCUCUAUGUUGAUGACAUGGUCAUCACUGGGGAUGACCCCGAGUAUAUUGCCUUUGUAAAGGCCCGUCUUAAUGAGCAGUUUCUUAUGUCUGAUCUUGGACCUCUUCGCUACUUUCUUGGGAUUGAAGUCUCUUCUACCUCUGAUGGCUUUUUUAUAUCCCAAGAAAAGUAUAUCCAGGAUCUUCUUGCUCGUGCUGCUCUUACUGACGAGCGCAUUGUUGAGACUCCUAUGGAGCUCAAUGUUCACCUUCGUGCUACUGAUGGUGAUCCUCUCCCUGACCCGACGCGUUAUCGUCAUCUUGUUGGCAGUCUUGUCUAUCUAGUUGUCACUCGUCCGGACAUCUCUUAUCCGGUUCAUAUUCUGAGUCAGUUUGUCUCUGCUCCCACAUCGGUUCACUAUGGUCAUCACCUUCGUGUUCUCCGAUAUCUUCGGGGCACGAUCUCUCACCGUCUAUUCUUUCCUAGCUCCAGUUCUUUACAGCUUCAGGCCUAUUCGGAUGCUACGUGGGCUAGUGAUCCUUCUGAUCGCCGUUCACUUUCUGCUUACUGUGUUUUUCUUGGUGGUUCUCUCAUUGCCUGGAAGACGAAGAAACACAUUGCAGUUUCCCGUUCGAGUGCUGAGGCUGAGUUGCGAGCCAUGGCUCUUUUGACGGCAGAGGUAACUUGGUUACGGUGGUUACUUCAGGAUUUUGGUGUUUCUGUCACU
rnacentral:rRNA from 1 species